GACGAACGCUGGCGGCGUGCCUAAUACAUGCAAGUCGAACGCAGUGGGGACGGGUGAGUAACACGUGGGUAACCUCCCAUCAGAGGGGAUAACACUUGGAAACAGGUGCUAAACCGAUACUGAUGGAUGGACCCGCGGUGCAUUAGCUAGUUGGUGAGGUGGCGGCUCACCAAGGCCACGAUGGAUAGCCGGCCGAGGAGGCAGAAUUGCCAGACUGGGACUGAGCCACGGCCCAGACUCCUACGGGAGUCAGCAGUAGGGUAUAUUCGGCAAGGGACGAAAGUCUGACCGAGCAACGCCGCGUGAGUGAAGAAGGUUUGCGGAUCGUAAAACUCUGUUGUUAGAGAAGCGGUAUCUAACCAGAAAGCCACGGCUAACUCCGUGCCAGCAGCCGCUGUUAUAC
rnacentral:rRNA from 1 species